CUAGCUUGAAGGGGCUGUGGAAGUUAUCAAUAUCAAAAGGGAAUUGUGAGCAUCAAUCACUAACAAAAUGGGGCCUGGAGGCUACAAGAGAGGAACAUGGAAGCAUUUGAUGAAUUCCGUUUGAUGAACCCAGCAGAGCAGUUCCCUCAAGGCAACUUGUACAAGGACACUUGCCGAACCUAACAGCAGCUGUCUGCAGAAAGAGCUAUCCAGCUCUGGCCGCAGGCUGCAGCUACAAAAGAGAUGUUCCUCCUUCACUGUCUUAGCUACUGUUCUUUUGCUGUGACGGAACACCAUGACCAAGCCAAAAUCAACUCUCCCUUGCUUCCCAUCUGGCAGUUCUUGGGGGACUUGCUGGAAGAAGCUGUCAUCCAGGAGAGAGCCUUUGGAAAUUACACCUUGGUCCCUGGCUCUGUCCUGUUCUCCUCCCUGGCCCACUGCAAUGUCGGGAGCUUGAACCACACACUCCCACUGCCACAGACCAAGCUGCACAUCUUGCCCAUCCCUGCCAUGGAGGACAGAAGCCUCUGAGACCAUGAGUCACAUGACUAACACAGAUGAAACCAUUCCAUUCUGGGAAAGGACAGGGUCUCACUACACAGCUCUGGCUGGCUUGGAGCUCACUCUGUACAUGUGGCUGUAUUCAAACUCAUAGAAAUCCACCUGCUUCUGCAUCUGGAGUGCUGAAAUUAAUGACAUCUACCAAUAUGCCUGGCUAAGAAGAGAUCCUUUAAUUUCAAGGAGGAGCCACCCAGACAGCUACAUAGUGAAGAGAAAGCCUGGGGAUGCCACACUGUGUGACUGGGUCCAGUCCUGUGGUCAGUCAAGGAGUUGGUUGCAACCUUCGAGGCCUGACUUCAGUGCAGCCUCCCAGUGAGGCCUGCAGCUUGUCUGGGCCUCAAGUCCCUCCCUGGCCUCCUCCUUGGUUAGGUUUCUGAGUCCCCUGCGAGACACUGACUGUUUCUGCUUCUCAUGAGCAAAAGACAUCUUACAGGUACCUGUUGGAACCUGCCACACGUUCCUCAUCAGAUCCCACCUGCUGCUGUGUUCCCAGGUCUUCUGGAAAAGAUGAAGUAGAAUCUCUGAUGCUCCCAGUAAGGUAGACAAGCUGACUUCCAGCGGGCAGCGUCUAUACAGCUGCCACUGUUGUGUGGUUCCAGGUAAAUGCCAAGAUCUUUGUUCCCCGGCUGAUCGGUCAGCUCCAUUCACAAGGGCAAGCUUCCCUUAGGCAAGGAGAAACAAAGAUGAGUGGCAGAGACGGGGAGGGGCCACUGAGCCAUCUCGAAGGCUCCUUCCAGGUCUGUGAUUCUAGGAUUAUAGGCAUCUUUCAAUUUUUAAUUUUUUAAUUUUAUAUAUAUAUAUAAUUUACUUUUAUACUACUGGAGGUUGAACCUAGGGCAUUAUACAUGCAAGGCAGAACCUUAUCAUGGAGUUGGCAUGUUCCCAGCUCUAAAAUUGUAACAGUGAGCUGAAGAUAGCUUGAAGCUGGGCUGAAAACCCCAGGGGAAGAGGAGGAAGAAGAGGAGGAGGAGAAAGAGGAAGGAGGGAGGAGGAGGAAGAAGAAGAGAGGAGAGAACAAGACAAAAGAAAUAGAAUGUCCGAGAAGGUGAAUGGGGAGCAUUAGAAAACGUUUAGAAUUCCCAUUUGAGCCUUGUCUGCAUUCAGGACCAUUCUUCAGCAAGGCUCUGCUCUCAAGAGUGUCUAGAUUAAAUACCACCAGACUUCAAUCGAAUGCCCAGUCUGGACAAUUGCCGCAGCCUAAAGUACCAAAAGGGCAGGUGCCUGGAGGGUUGGCACCUGGGCCUCCUGCCUCUCUCUGUGUCCCUAGUGUCACUUCCAGCUGCUUGAUUUGCCCUUCCCAGUGUGUGAGGUCAUGCCUCGACCUUUCCUAAGCUCCUUGAGCAUUUUUCCUGUGGUUUUAUGGUUCGCUCUGCUUGUUGGAGUGGGAUGGGGCCUUACAGACCUGGUGUGUUACCCCCUCCAGUUGUUAACUAUGAGAUCUGAUCAUAUUUAACCUGUGCUUUAGUCUUCUAAUCUCCAAAACAAGACCACUGGCAGCCAGUGUGCAGAGUCACUGUGAAAUAUGAACCGUGAGAGAGGCCCUGUCUCAAAAAGCACCCUGUGCCCCCAAACUAAUAAAUAAAUAAAUAAAGCCAGGUGUAGCCAUGCAUGCCUUUGAUCUCAGUGCUUGGGAAGCAGAGCCAGACAGAUCUCUGCGAGAUCAGCUCAGCUUUGUCUCCAUAGUGAGUUCUAGGACAACUAGGGCUACAUAGAAAGACCCUGUUUCAAAAAACAAACAAACAAACAAACAAACAAAAAGAAUGAAAUAAAAUACAUAGAAAUG
ensembl:lincRNA